rnacentral:rRNA from 1 species
GAUGAACGCUGGCGGCGUGCCUAAUACAUGCAAGUCGAGCGAACAGAUAAGGAGCUUGCUCCUUUGACGUUAGCGGCGGACGGGUGAGUAACACGUGGGUAACCUACCUAUAAGACUGGGAUAACUUCGGGAAACCGGAGCUAAUACCGGAUAAUAUUUCGAACCGCAUGGUUCGAUAGUGAAAGAUGGUUUUGCUAUCACUUAUAGAUGGACCCGCGCCGUAUUAGCUAGUUGGUAAGGUAACGGCUUACCAAGGCGACGAUACGUAGCCGACCUGAGAGGGUGAUCGGCCACACUGGAACUGAGACACGGUCCAGACUCCUACGGGAGGCAGCAGUAGGGAAUCUUCCGCAAAGGGCGAAAGCCUGACGGAGCAACGCCGCGUGAGUGAUGAAGGUCUUCGGAUCGUAAAACUCUGUUAUUAGGGAAGAACAUACGUGUAAGUAACUGUGCACGUCUUGACGGUACCUAAUCAGAAAACCACGGCUAACUACGUG